rnacentral:rRNA from 1 species
AUGGCUUGCUUUUGUUAUGUCAUACCAAAUCUCGAUGCUCUUGGUAGUUUCUGCUGCAUUUUCUGCCCAAUGCAUGUAAUGGAACUUUGUGUUUGGCUGGGAGUAUCUACUUUCUAUUACCAACCAAAUCUCUCUCUGCCUGCUUUGCAUUUCCGUUUGUGCUAUAUAUUGUCUACUACCGGUUUAGCUAAAACAGGAAAAUGUGGGGUUCUUUGCAUUUCCGUCUGUGCUAUGUAUUUUCUACUACUGGAUUCUUAUAUGCAAUUAUGUACAGUUCUCUUCCCCCCUUUAGUUUCUCACAUUUCUCCUUCAUCUUCCUGUGACUGUAUUUUUCUCUUGUGGGCAAAGAGUACUUGUCCUUCAAGUAGAUAG